rnacentral:rRNA from 1 species
UACGGAGGGUGCGAACGUUAAUCGGAAUCACUGGGCGUAAAGCGCGCGUAGGCGGUCUGUUAAGUGGGAUGUGAAAUCCCCGGGCUUAACCUGGGAAUUGCAUUUCAAACUGGCCGACUAGAGUACGGUAGAGGGAGGUAGAAUUUCCUGUGUAGCGGUGAAAUGCGUAGAUAUAGGAAGGAAUACCGGUGGCGAAGGCGGCCUUCUGGACAGUGACUGACGCUGAGACGCGAAAGCGUGGGGAGCAAACAGG